GUGCAGCAGGCGCGAAACCUUCGCAAUGCGCGAAAGCGUGACGAGGGGAGUCCGAGUGCCUGUAUCUUUAAGGUGCAGGCUUUUCUUGAGUGUAAAGAGCUCAAGGAAUAAGGGCUGGGCAAGACCGGUGCCAGCCGCCGCGGUAACACCGGCGGCUCUACUGGUAGCCAUGUUCACUGGGCCUAAAGCGUCCGUAGCCGGGUCAGUAAAAUCCCGAGUGAAAUCUGUCGGCUUAACCGGCAGGCGUGCGUCGGGACACUGCUGUCCUAGGGACCGGAAGAGGUAGGAGGUAGGCCUCGGGUAGGGGACAAAAUCCUAUAAUCCGAGGAGGACCACC
rnacentral:rRNA from 1 species